AUAAUAUUUAUAUAUAUAUGUAUAUUUUUAAUCUGCUCCCUGCAAGUCAGAUAAUUGCUCGGAGGGUGUGGGCAGACCUGGCCUUUUUUUUUAGAUUAGGCAGCCCCAGAAGUUUACUGCCACCCUUUUACCAGACGUGAUGGGAGAUCGCCCGCUCCCCUUUGCACCAAAUUGGCCGUGUCUCGUCCAUAAACACGGCACCUUUGCCACAGAGGUGGUAAAAUGGGGCCAGGGCAUCGCCUCUCCCACCUGGGGGUGCCCAGGGCAGGAGUGGAGCAGAGGGGACCCCGGCCAAGCUGCGGGCCCCUUGCUUUUGGCCUCCUGGUGCUGCUGCCUUGUGCCCUGCGUCUUCCCUCUCGCACCACACCUGGGCCCCGCCGUGCCGCACCCUGCAAAGCUCAGCCCAGGUGGGAGGGACCCAGAUCCCUUAAAUCCAGGGCUCCCGGGGGAGCGGGGCUGUUGCAGGCUCACCCUCAGGCUGCUUUCAUGAGACCGAGGUGCUGCAGCAGGAGCUGCGAGCAGGAGAGGGGACACGCAGCUGCAGCACAGAUUCUUCUGCUGCUGGAGACGCUGGGCUGAGGGAGAGCCCCGAGGUCCCUGGGGGAGACGGGCACGUGGAAGCGCACCCCGAGCUCGGAGACGCACAGGAGGAGGAGGAGGAGGAGGAGGGAGAGGCUUCCCCUGGACUCCAAGCUGCCAAACCACAGCGCCGAGCCAUGUCACAGGUCAUCCAAAACCACGUGCUGCGCGUUGGCCAGACCGUGCACAUCCCCUCGCGGGAGGACAGCAAGUGCCUGCACGCGGCAGGGUACGCGGGCUGCUCCGCGCUGCCAGCCUCGUACUGCUACUACUCCACGGGCAGCUGGGCUGACCCCAAGGCUGUGGGGUGCCCCACGGGACGCCUGGUGCCUGGCGGGGGGCUGUAUGGAGCCCACCCUGUGCUGGAGCACUCAGCUGGAGCUCAGGGGCAGCAGGAGACAUCCCUGGAGCGAGCCGGGGUCCCUCGCCAGCCGCAGCAGCAGCAGCAGGGGGACGCCGGCACGGAGCCUGAUGCGCACCUCGGCUCUCCUACCUUGGAUAUUUCAAUAGAGAGCCUCAACAAGCUGAUCCUCGAGAUCGAUCCGACCUUCCAGCCGCUCAAGUGCAAGCCGGUGAAGGACACGGCCCAGCCCGCUUCCCAAGGGGACGUCACGGCCACCAAGAAGCACGAGCCGGAGGUGAUAGGGAAAUUCUUUCUCCAGGGCUUGUGCACUCCUCCGGCAGCACGCCUGGCAUGCAUAACGCAGAAUGGCAGCAGCACAGGCACCCACCUCUUGCUGCUCUCACGCCUGGGUGCUUUGGGAACACUUCUGCAUCGCUGCCAUCCCCACAUCCCGAGCUGUGCUGAGCGCUGCGGCUCCUGCUGUGCCUCCCCUGCAGUGUGUGAGCCACUCGGCGUGCACAAGGUGACACAGGCAGGCAGGGAGCUGCACGCUGCUGCUCACGUUCCGGUGUACCGGCUGCCGGAGCGCACAUCUGGGAUGUGUUUCAGUGCCUAAAGAUGCAGUCUGGCUGCCUCUGGAAAGCCCGAUUGCCCAGCCGCGUCUUUAGACGCCAAAAUACCUUGAGAAUCUGUCUGCAGCCCUCAUUCCGGAGAAAGGUCAAAUAAGAGGAUGUUACAGACAGGGAAAAAAAAAAUUCUGUUCUCCCUGAUCCCUCGUGGCUACUCCUGCCCAAGGAAUGUGGGGUUGGGGGAGGACAAGGUGCGUGACAGCGGGCGCAGUGAACUCCAGCUCGGGGCAGCCGAUAAGCUGGAGCCUGGCGGUGCGAGCGUGGUGCGGAGCUUUGGGCGUUGCUGAAGCAGCUGCAGACUGUGCCUCCUGCUCCGCCGAGACACAAGGGCUGGCCUUGCAGAUAAAGUGUGGUGACAAAGUGCAAGUUCAGCCCUUUGCUCCUCCAACGAGCACUCGGAGGAGACCUGGAUGCGUCUCCGCGACGCAUUGCGCUCGGGGGCUGCCGCCCGAGCAGCUCAGCAGGUAGCGUGCUGGUGGUUUUCAAAACCUGGCUCCGAGUGUGGGACUGAACAUCUGGAACUCUGGCCCUGAACUCGGUGGGAAAAGCCUCCCUUCAGCUUUCAUUUUCUUUUUUUUUAUGUGGACUUCCUGGUGCUGCAUUGCAUCCCUGGCAGCCGGGGGAGCGCCCACGGUGCCCACACAUGCGCUGCUGUCCCCUUCCAGCCUGGCAGAGGGGAGCACAGAACUCAACCAGUUGAUGCGAGGGCUGGCAAGAGGCUGAUGGUGCCCAAGGAUAUAGGAGAGGGGUUUGCUCUUCUCUGCUGUUUCCAUAACAGACGCUGCAGCAAUUCCCAACAGCUGUCAGUUGCCUCUGGUGCUCACCCCUCGCUGGAGAACCAGGGAGCAGUCCUCCUGGCUCGCGUGACAGCCAGCCUUGGUGCUUCUGGUGCUUUUUGCCACUCCCUGAUGCUGAAGAACUUGCCAAGAUCCUGAUCAAAUAUUUGAGGUUUAGCCACACCUGAUAAGCAGGAGCCUCGGCAGGAGG
rnacentral:lncRNA from 1 species